rnacentral:lncRNA from 1 species
ACCAGGUGAACACUCACCUGUAUAGAACCAGUUAUACCACUAGACCAGGUGAACUCACCUGUAUAGAACCAGUUAUACCACUAGACCAGUGAACACACCUGUAUAGAACCAGUUAUACCACAGACCAGGUGAACACUCACCUGUAUAGAACAUUUAUACCACUAGACCAGGUGAACACUCACCUGUAUAGAACCAGUUAUACCACUAGACCAGGUGAACACACCUGUAUAGAACCAGUUAUACCACUAGACCAGGUGAACGCACCGACAGUGUUUUGCAAAAGUAUUCAGACCUCUUUGGAUUAUUUUACUUUUUAUUGUUUUACAAAUUAGAAUUCAAAUGGAUUCGUCCUUUUUUUGUCAAUAAUUUACACAAAAUACUCUGCAAUGUCAAAGCAGAAGAAAAAUUAAUUCAUAACUAAAAUAGAAUCGUUUGCAUAAGUAUUCAGCCACUUUGUUUAAGCAAACAUAAUAUUAGUUCAGGAGUAAAAUGUGGUUUAACAAAACACAUAAUAAGUGACGGACUCACUGUGUGAAAUAAUAGAGGUUAACAACUGCUUCCUUGUCUUUAAGCCU